rnacentral:rRNA from 1 species
CGUCGUGGAGGAAGGGAAUAACACAGAAGUAAAUUUGUGACUACCGCAUGAUGCUAGGUUGGGUCGCAUGGCUCUGACUCGACCAAAGAUUUUAUCGCUCUGAGAUGGCCUCGCGUCUGAUUAGCUAGUUGGUGGGGCAACGGCCCACCAAGGCGACGAUCAGUAGCCGGACUGAGAGGUUGACCGGCCACAUUGGGACUGAGACACGGCCCAG